AUGAACGAGACCUGGGUUCUUCCUGGUGAGUCAGCGGCACUGUCAGAGCUCUGUUCUUCAGACUGCCAGGUUCUGAACGAGCCCAGGCUCACUGGUCGUGGAUUACUAACCAUGUUCAGAUCCUCUUUCCAUCCUAAAAGACUUACUAUACCGGUGACUCCAACCAGCUUUGAGUUUAUGGCUUUUGAGGUGGACUUUAGUCCUCUGCUGCUGUUUAUUCUCUGCUAUCGCCCAGCUAAGUACAAUUCAAACUUUUUAUUGGAAUUUUCUGAUCUUUUAACAGACUUUCUUCCAAAAUAUGACCGUGGGAUUAUUCUUGGUGAUUUUAAUAUAUAUGUUUGCUGCCCUGACAAACCUCUUGUUGGUGGCUUUUUAGACAUUUUAGAUUGUUUUGGUCUCCAGCAGCAGGUCCAGUCACCCACCCUUUCAGGAUCGCACAUUUUAGACUUGGUUUUGUCAUUUGGGAUCUGUAUCUCUGAUCUGAUUGUUGACUCUGCAUGUAUCUCUGAUCAUUCUCCUAUUAUUUUUAAUAUCUGUGGUUUGACGCCUCCAUCCACUAGGCAACAUAAUCAACACCUUACAAGAAUAAUUUCCCCUUUCACCACCAAUCUAUUAGCAUCUAGCCUAGCUGCGACUCUAUCCACUUCCCAACCUGAUUCCACCUGUGUAGGAGUUGAGGAGCUGCUGACCUCUUUCAACUCUACCUGCUCAACUGUUUUAAAUGCAGUCGCUCCUCUAAAAUCCAGACAUAAAAAAACUGUGGCAGGCCCUUGGCUCAAUGAGGAGACUCGUGCCCUAAGACGCCAAUGUAGGGUCUGCGAACGCCGGUGGCGGAAGGACAAGCUGCAAAUCUACCAAUUAUUCAAGGAUUCUUUGACCCGCUAUCAGAAAGCUGUCCGCACAGCUAGAAACAGAUAUUUUGCAAAUAUAAUCACUAGGCAUAAAAACGACCAGAAGAAACUGUACAGUGUCCUCACCUCUGUACUAUCCCUUAGAGAAUCUCCCAACUCUUCUCCCUCUACAGGGGCUCUUUGCAAUGAGUUUCAAAACUUUUUCCUGCAUAAAAUCCAGGAUGUUAGAUCCGGUUUCUCUUACUCAGGCUGGGUUACCUGUGUGGAACCUCACUGUCCACCCUCAUUCUCUUGCUUUGCUCAUGUGACACUCUCUUCCCUGGUUGAUCUAAUCUUGGCUAUGAAGCCCUCAGGCUCUCCAGAGGACAGCCUUCCUCCAAGACUGCUGCGCGAUGUCCUUCCAGCGGUGGCCCCUGCUGUUUUAGAUAUUGUCAAUUCCAGCUUCUCCUCUGGUGUGUUUCCAGCUGCUUUUAAAAAUGCAAUUGUUCAGCCGCUAUUGAAGAAACCAGGCCUUGACCAGUCUGACUGUGCCAAUUAUCGCCCAAUCUCAAAACUUCCAUUCAUCUCAAAAGUAGAUGAGAAACUGGCUCUCACGCAGCUUACUUCUCACCUAGAUGACAAUGGGCUUCUUGACCCUUCCAAUCAGGUUUUAGAUGUAAUUACAGCACAUAAUCUGCACACAUUAGGGUACUCAAUGACAUCUUGA
ensembl:lncRNA